ACGUGCUAUCUUCCCACAGUCACAGCAUGACGAAGAGCGGGAAGGUUGUUUUGUUCUUCAGCUACGUCGUUUCUCCUAAGCGGAAUUCCAUAGUAUUUCAAAUGGAAGAAUAUAUUCAAGGACACGAACAUGACCAACAGAGAAAUUGGAAGAUUAUUCAGUUCGAGUCUUAAGAAAGAUAUCAUGGACAUAUAUUUAGGUAUGAAUACAGAAAAGUGAAGACGCAGUUCCUCAGCGAACAAGU